rnacentral:rRNA from 1 species
UAGGGAAUCUUCGGCAAUGGGGGCAACCCUGACCGAGCAACGCCGCGUGAGUGAAGAAGGUUUUCGGAUCGUAAAGCUCUGUUGUAAGUCAAGAACGGGUGUGAGAGUGGAAAGUUCACACUGUGACGGUAGCUUACCAGAAAGGGACGGCUAACUACGUGCCAGCAGCCGCGGUAAUACGUAGGUCCCGAGCGUUGUCCGGAUUUAUUGGGCGUAAAGCGAGCGCAGGCGGUUUGAUAAGUCUGAAGUUAAAGGCUGUGGCUCAACCAUAGUUCGCUUUGGAAACUGUCAAACUUGAGUGCAGAAGGGGAGAGUGGAAUUCCAUGUGUAGCGGUGAAAUGCGUAGAUAUAUGGAGGAACACCGGUGGCGAAAGCGGCUCUCUGGUCUGUAACUGACGCUGAGGCUCGAAAGCGUGGGGAGCGAACAGGAUUAGGAUACCCUGGUAGUCCACGCCGUAAACGAUGAGUGCUAGGUGUUGGAUCCUUUCCGGGAUUCAGUGCCGCAGCUAACGCAUUAAGCACUCCGCCUGGGGAGUACGACCGCAAGGUUGAAAC